rnacentral:misc_RNA from 1 species
GAAUAUUCUAACUGCUUGUCAUUUGUUUGUUUGGAUUUGUGACACAUUGAAUGGAGCUGGUACCAGUGAAUGAUAGUUGAUUUUUUUUUCCUCCUUUCAACGUUAGCUUUUGGAAUAAGGUUAUAGGAAGUGUUGAUUUUGUUGAAAUCGUGUAGGAUGUACCAUUGGGAAGUCUAGAGUAGUUGGUACUCCUCUCUUACAUAUGGUCAUCAUUGUAACUCUUUGAUCAUACUUGAAGGCUUCUAAUUAUUUUCCAAAACCAGAAUAAAGUUGUUAAGAGUCCUGAAUCAUAUUCCAAUUUAGAAAAGCUACUUUUGAAAGCAAAAGACCAUAAUCUGGUCUUCUUGGCUGCUUUGAAAUUUUAAAGAUUACAUGUGGGUCAUCUUCUCAAGCUUAAUGAUUAAAUUCCAUUUCUAUGUGCAUGUGCACACAUGGUGCAUCCACAUUAGUGUCU